rnacentral:rRNA from 1 species
GAUGAACGCUGGCGGUGUGCCUAAUACAUGCAAGUCGAGCGAACAGACGAGGAGCUUACUCCUCUGACGUUAGCGGCGGACGGGUGAGUAACACGUGGAUAACCUACCUAUAAGACUGGGAUAACUUCGGGAAACCGGAGCUAAUACCGGAUAACAUGUUGAACCGCAUGGUUCAACAGUGAAAGACGGUCUUGCUGUCACUUAUAGAUGGAUCCGCGUCGCAUUAGCUAGUUGGUAAGGUAACGGCUUACCAAGGCAACGAUGCGUAGCCGACCUGAGAGGGGGAUCGGCCACACGGGAACGGAGACACGGUCCAGACUCCUAAGGGAGGCAGCAGUAGGGAAUUUUCCGCAAGGGGCGAAAGCCUGACGGAGAAACGCCGAGGGGGUGAAGAAGGUUUUCGGAUCGUAAAACCUUGUUAUUAGGGAAAAAAAAAUGUGUAAGUAACUAUGCACGUCUUGACGGUACCUAAUCAAAAAACCACGGCUAACUACGU